AUGGUGGGAACUCAAAGGAGACUGCCGGUGAUAAACCGGAGGAAGGUGGGGAUGACGUCAAGUCAUCAUGGCCCUUACGAGUAGGGCUACACACGUGCUACAAUGGCAGAUACAAAGAGAAGCGACCUCGCGAGAGCAAGCGGAACUCAUAAAGUCUGUCGUAGUCCGGAUUGGAGUCUGCAACUCGACUCCAUGAAGUCGGAAUCGCUAGUAAUCGUAGAUCAGAAUGCUACGGUGAAUACGUUCCCGGGCCUUGUACACACCGCCCGUCACACCAUGGGAGUGGGUUGCAAAAGAAGUAGGUAGCUUAACCUUCGGGAGGGCGCUUACCACUUUGUGAUUCAUGACUGGGGUGAAGUCGUAACAAGGUAACCGUAGGGGAACCUGCGGUUGGAUCACCUCCUUACCUAAGAGA
rnacentral:rRNA from 1 species